UUCAUUUGCAGCACGUGUACGUUAAGUUGGGGGAAUGUUUCAAAACCAAAUAACAUAUUACAGUACAGCUCAGUAAGCUUUAAAUCUUAUCAGCAAUAAUAACUUAAUUGGUAUUAAGCCAACAGCUGAAAUAAUUUCUUUUCUGAUUCAAAGUAGGAGAAUGGAUUUGCUCUCUUUUCAAGAUUUCAAGACACCUAUUUUAAGCAAUCUUUAAAAAUUGUACUUAGGCUGAAUGCUAACAACAAGAUGAGCAGUAGGACUCUAUGAAUGAUGAGAAUGUAGAAGCCCACUUGCUCCUGAGAUACUGCAGCUGUGUUUCUACUGGUGCAGCCAUCCAACAGAGCCCUAUGCUAUCACUGGAAAGCAGUUCCAGUUCAAGGAAUGUUGGUGUCCCAUCCUCAACCUCCCGGCCACUCUACAUAAGCAAGUUAAAAGAGGUCUGUUGUGAAGGUAACAUAGAUGGAUGUGCUGCUUGUCAACUAGAGAUUCAUUGUGCUACACAUUCCUGCUGUUGGGCAGUUAUGCGUUUUGUAUUCAGUAGACGAUGCCAUGCGUUUUUCAGAGGCAUCAUUUUUAAAAACAGCCGUGACUGGAAGUUAAUUGAGCAAGAGCUUCAAGUUAAUGUAGCACUUGAUGCCGUGAAGUGAGUGAAUGUCAGUUUUCUUCCUGGACUGGGCUGUAAUUUAUUUUUUCCAGCUGAAAUCUCUGACAGUUGUGUUAUGCAGUGAGUACUGCUGAUCCUUACUUUAGGAACAUUUUGCUUAUUUAAACAAAUGUUCUGUGCACUGACUUCAAAAAGACCAGGUGAAGACAGCUCUUUCCAUUUUACAUUACACAGUAAUUGAUAUAGUCUUCCCAGGUCCUUGAUUGUCACUGUGUUUUCCAGUAAACUGAGCAAUAUGGACUUUACUUGUGAAACAUCUCUGCUGAUUUGACCUAACUCAUUCCUCCCAUUUAGUACAGUAACUCCAGACAUAAAGUUAAUGUCCAUAGAUGAUAGCAAAAGAGAAUGCCUGACAAUCUUUCAGAAAUGAAAUUAAGAAUCAUUUGGGGCUGAGGAAAUAUGACAGAAUUUGGUAACAUUUGGAUAGAUUGUUUGAAAAACUGAGUGGAGCAUACUAACCCAGCUGAAAGUGUUUAGUAGCAGUUGUAACCCAAAGGUAGAUGUGUUACUGCGUGCAGUGUGAGCGUUUUUGUGCAAGCAAUUACCUGUUUUCAAGAGAGGGUACUGAAAUGUAGAAGCACACUUUGUGUCCUGUUUCAAAUGUGAAAUAAUGAAGACCAAAUAUGAGGGAAGAGUUGAACAACUUGUAGAUGCUGUCUUUUUUUUAUUCAUUGAUAUAAAUUAUGAUCAUCCUCCUUUUUAUACUUAAGUGAGAUGUGAGAAAACAAACUACAUAACAAUGUCUUACAGUAAGUUCCUGGAAAUGAGAGGUUAUAGGAUAAUUCAGAAUGGGGCAUGUAUUUUAUAAAUGUAUGUCUUGAAACAACCUUUAAACAAUAAAAAGUUAACUAAAGCAAUACAGCUUAGGGUCCUUAGGAAGAAAGUGUUUUGAAGGGGGAAGAAUAUGAAGAUUUUUCAUCCAUUCAGGCCAUAUUUUAUUAUUAAGUUCUGGGGCAUGUAAUAUUUCUAGGAGAUAUGUCAUCAUAUUCUAAUUAUUUCUCCUCUUACAUUUAUUCUUAAGUCUUUUGCAGUGGAAACAUCUGCUGCCAAGAAUCCUUACAUUGUGACAGUUGAGCUUUUCAAGGUACACAAAAGAAAGCAAAGAAACUUUAAUCUGGACAAAUAAAAAUUUGGUCAUGGAAACAGCUUAUUGCUUAGCUCUAGGGCAUCAGAAAGUUUCUUGAUCACUUCCUUUGACAAAACUGCAGUGUGUAGGUGGGCUGCCCAAUGGGGAGUCUUGGAAUCAGACUUCAGGUCACUGACACAAAGCAUUGUACUCUGAGCUGUCCUGGUGUGUGAUGUCAUGGACAGAAGGGAGAUAGGAUCCCAUAUCUGCAUUCCUGUCUUUGUCUCCCCCAAAAAUGUUAGAAUUAGGCUGUGGAAGACACACUGUCCGGAUCAUUUUUCCCCACUAUAGCAGAAGGGACAUCUUUAGGUCUCCCCUUGUUCUGAAGGAAACUGCUUCUGAGAUGAUCAGAAGUUUAAUAGCCUCUGACAGGCCUAUUUUUAUACACCUUUGCUUUGAAUGUUUACUUCUCAUCUCUACUUAUGAACUCAAUUCUUGAGUUCAUUUUUAGUUCUGAUUCUUUUGUAUUCUGUAACAUCCCUGAUGAUGUGUUUCUCAAUCUGCUGUAAUGUUUCCUGAUGUUGUGUUUUCCAGACUAAACAUGAAUAAAGAACAUUUCAUGUUACUGCUGUUUUCUGCCCUACAGAUGCUACUUUCAUUUAGCACUUUGCAGAUUAUAAGCACUGAUGUCAGAUUGCAGUACCAGUCAGUGGGAGCUGCAGUAGGGUCCUUGCUAUUUGGUUAUAGAAUAAUAUGGAUAGUGUAAAAAUGUUUCUUCUUUUCAUACUGUCAUCUUACAGAUCUGUUUGUCUCUUAUCUUAGUUGAGGUAAAACUUUUCAGAGGAAGCAUUUGGCUUCUGUUUAUAGCAUCUCCUCCACUGAACAGCUAAGUUGUAAUGCAGCACCUAUGUGCUACCUACCCGAACAGCAAAGAUAAAAUUCCUUACAGUAACAGUAAUUUCCGGAUUAGGUAAGAAGUACUGCAGUUUUUCCUAGAAACUAUACAGAAUUAAAAGUGUUUAAAAUUUUUGUCAUGAAAAGCAUGUGCUGCUACAUACAUGUGCAUAGGCUUGUGAA